rnacentral:rRNA from 1 species
GACGAACGCUGGCGGCGUGCCUAAUACAUGCAAGUUGAGCGAUGACGGUUGGUGCUGUCACGAAUUUGAAGGGCAGCGAACGGGAGAGUAACGCGUGGGCAAUCUGCCUUUGAGCGGGGGACAACAAUUGGAAACGAAUGCUAAUACCGCAUAACAACUUUAAACAUGAGUUGUAAGUUUGAAAGAUGCAAUUGCAUCACUCAAAGGUGAUCCCGCGUUGUAUUAGAUAGGUGGUGAGGUAAAAGCACAACAAGGCGAUGGUACAUAGCCGGCAUGAGAGGGUGAUCGGCCCACUUGGGAAUGAGACACGGCCCAAAACUCUUCGGGAGGGAGCCGUAGGGGAAUUUCGGACAAGGAGGGAAGGCUUACCGAACAAAGCCGGGGGAGUGAAGGAUGUUUUCGGAUCGUAAAACUCGUUUGGUAGAGAAGAACGUUGGUGUGAGUGAAACGCGCAUCAAGUGACGGUACCGACACAGUAAGCGCCGGCUAACUACGUG